AUUGAACGCUGGCGGCAUGCUUUACACAUGCAAGUCGAUCGGUAACAGGCCGCAAGGUGCUGACGAGUGGCGAACGGGUGAGUAAUGCAUCGGAACGUGCCCAGUCGUGGGGGAUAACGCAGCGAAAGCUGUGCUAAUACCGCAUACGAUCUAUGGAUGAAAGCGGGGGACCGUAAGGCCUCGCGCGAUUGGAGCGGCCGAUGUCAGAUUAGGUAGUUGGUUGGGUAAAGGCUCACCAAGCCAACGAUCUGUAGCUGGUCUGAGAGGACGACCAGCCACACUGGGACUGAGACAGGGACCAGACUCCGACGGGAGGCAGCAGUGGGGAAUUUUGGACAAUGGGCGCAAGCCUGAACCAGCAAUGCCGCGUGCAGGAAGAAGGCCUUCGGGUUGUAAACUGCUUUUGUACGGAACGAAACGGUCUGGGUUAAUACCCUGGGCUAAUGACGGUACCGUAAGAAUAAGCACCGGCUAACUACGUGCCAGCCGCCGCGGUAACAC
rnacentral:rRNA from 1 species